GGCUCACAACCAUCAGAUGCCCUCUUCUGUCUGCUGUGUCUGAGUACAGCUACAAUAUACAUUAAAUAAUUUUGUGUAUAUAUAUAUGUAUAUGUAUAGCUGCAAUAGUGUAUUCCUUUCUCUUUCAGCAGCUUAAGGAAGGAAGGGCGAACAUUUGUUGGUUCGCAGUGUGAUGGCUGCAGGAACGUGAGGAGUUGCUACCGCUGCGUCCUGAGCAGGAGGCUGACAGUGAUGACUCUUUAGAGACGGGCUCUUCCUUAUUUUGGAACUAAGCUGGCAGCCGGCAGACUCCAGUCAUCUUCCUGUCUCCAUCCACAUCCCCAUAGCACUGAGGUUACAGGCAGCUGUGGCGACACUUGCAGUUUCUCAUGGUGAUGCAGACUCUGGUCCUCAUGCUUGUACAGUAAAUGCUCUUACCCAUGGAA